rnacentral:lncRNA from 1 species
CCUCUAUUAUUUAUUCUGUAAAGUAUGGGAACUGAACCUCAAAAGAAGGUUUUUGUCAGUUUGACAAUGCAUAGUAAAAUAAUUGCCUUUUAAAUUCAUUCCUUAGAAGAAGCAAAAAGAAGAAAAGAAGUUCCAGAAAAGAAAGCUAUUCAUGAAGUUAAAACAAAAGGUACUACCUUAUUUUAAAAUGUGGCAGUUAAUUUACCCACUCUUCAGAGACCUCUGCCUAUUAUAAUUCCUAAAGAAAUAGAAAUAAAAAUAAUUUAUGGUUCGUGUCUUAGAAGCAGAAGAAAGAAAAAAGGUAACUCACAAGAAGAAAAUUAUUCCUGAAAUUAAAGGGAAAGCUUUGGAACAGGAAAAGAAGGUAACCCAAGAGAAGAAAGCUAUUUCUGAAACAAAAAUUAAAGGGGGAAAAGAAGAAAGAAAGAAAGCUCUUGAGAAAACAGCUGUCCCUGAAGUUAAAAAGGCAGAACCAGAAAAAGCUCCUGCAGCCCAUCCAGCUUCUGUGAAGGUAGCUGUGCGAGAACCAUUCAAGAAAGAAAAGCCAGUCGAAAGAGCCAAGCAGCCAGUGAAGGAUGUGCCUGUAAAAGCAUCAGAAACAGAACUAACCAAAAUAGAACCUGCUGCCCAUUUGACUAAAAAAGCAGUACAUGAAAAGAAAGAAGACAGAUUAUUAAAGGCAGUGGAGCAAGACAAACCAAAAUCCAAAGAAACAAAAGAUAUCAGAGGGAAAGAAGCAAAACAUGUGGCACCAAAAGUCAAAGAUGUUGCAAAAGAAAAAGUGAAGUCUCCUACUACUGUGAAAGAAAAAGAGGCAGUAAAACCAAAGGAAGUAAAGCCUACCAUUCCCCAGAAGCAGAAAGCACCUGAAGUGAUAAAAGAAACCAAAGAUACUUCUCAUCGUGCCAUUGCAGGACAAGAGGUUCUUAAGCACGACAAAGGAGCUCCUCAAGGAAAGCCAGAAGAAAUCACAGUAGCAGAUAAGAAAAAAGCAGAAAAGCCUUUGAAGGAAAAAGACAGAAAAAUGGCAGCGGUGACUCAUUUGAAAGAAGAAAAAGCCAAGGUCCCAGCAGUAAAAGAAUCCCAUCACCAUCGUAACAUGACAACAGACAAGCUUUCAAAGGCUUCAAAAGCAACAGCUGCUGUCCGCUACUAUCAGUGUGUCUUUGUAAAUGGAUACAAUGACUACAAACCGCAACACCCUGUUACCCCUGCCCAGGACUACAAAGGAAAGGCCGGGCAGACAAAAAAUUCUGGGCACAAGAUCAAGACACUGAAACAAUAG